rnacentral:rRNA from 1 species
AUUGAACGCUGGCGGCAGGCCUAACACAUGCAAGUCGAGCGAGCGGCGGACGGGUGAGUACUGUCUGGGAAACUGCCUGAUGGAGGGGGAUAACUACUGGAAACGGUAGCUAAUACCGCAUACCAUCAGAUGUGCCCAGAUGGGAUUAGCUAGUGGGUGGGGUAACGGCUCACCUAGGCGACGAUCCCUAGCUGGUCUGAGAGGAUGACCAGCCACACUGGAACGGAUACACGGUCAAGACUCAGACGGGAGGCAGCAGUGGGGAAUAUGGCACAAUGGGAGCAAGCCUGAUGGAGCCAUGCCGCGGGUGUGAAGAAGGCCUUCGGGUUGUAAAGCACUUUCAGCGGGGAGGCGGUACCCGAAGAAGAAGCACCGGCUAACUCCGUGACAGCCGACGCGGUAAUAC